rnacentral:lncRNA from 1 species
UACUUACAUUCUUCACUAAUCAUGCAUACAAUUCAAAUUGUAUAAAAAACACUGGUUCAUCUUAUAAAACGUAAUACAAGAUCUACGAUAGGAUUAAGACAGAUUACUUACAUCAAUUCGCUUUCCAAAUUGCUCAAGUCCAGGUGACAAAUCCUUAAUCACCUAAAACAACAUCAUAGGGAUUACAUUAUUCCCCAUUUAUUUAUUAUAAAAUCUCUUAGUUCAUCAUACUAUGAACUUACUUACUUGGAUCCCAUCCAAGGAUUUAGCCCAAGUCCAAUUAACCCAAUUUUGAGCCUUUGGGGCUCAGUUUAAAACCAAAAUGGGUCAAUAGGCUUAGUCCCAAGUUUAAUUGGGUUUAAUUUUGGUUCAGGGUCAAUGUGACUCAUUUGGGCCUGAGUCAGGGUUAGCCCAAGGUAAAUUUGACCUUCUGUCAGUUGAAUUGGGCUUGGAUUGGGCCUGAUUCAUAAUCAAUUAGGUCUGCUGAGAUCAAUUCAGCUUAAUUGGGUUCGGACCCAAUUCAAUUUGGGCUUAAUUCGGUUUGGAUUUGACCCAAUUUGCAGUUUGGGCUCGUCCAGACUUAGCCUAAUCUGAUUAGGCUCGGGUUCAGGUUCAAUUGGCUAAACCAAUUUCUUAUUAUUGGGCUUAACGGGUUUCGGACCCGAACCCCGAUCCGUCCCGUUAGGCCGGACCCGUUAGGGGUCUCUUCUCUUUCU